rnacentral:rRNA from 1 species
UGGGGAAUAUUGCGCAAUGGGGGAAACCCUGACGCAGCAACGCCGCGUGCGGGAUGAAGGCCUUCGGGUUGUAAACCGCUUUCAGCAGGGAAGACAUCGACGGUACCUGCAGAAGAAGCCCCGGCUAACUACGUGCCAGCAGCCGCGGUAAUACGUAGGGGGCGAGCGUUAUCCGGAUUCAUUGGGCGUAAAGCGCGCGCAGGCGGUUGCUCAAGCGGAACCUCUAAUCUCGGGGCUUAACCUCGAGCCGGGUUCCGAACUGGACGACUCGAGUGCGGUAGAGGCAGAUGGAAUUCCCGGUGUAGCGGUGGAAUGCGCAGAUAUCGGGAAGAACACCAACGGCGAAGGCAGUCUGCUGGGCCGUCACUGACGCUGAGGCGCGAAAGCUGAGGGAGCGAACAGG